UAGAUUUCAACUACAAUCCAUAUAAUGACAAAUACAUCAACCAAAAUCCAAACGUGGUAUGCUGAUCAUAAAGAAAUGGAAGAACAAAGAUUAAAUUCAAUGGACCAGCACUACACUUCAUCUUAUUUCAAUAACAAGCUUUGCGUUACAAAUUAAGUGAUGUCCAUAGGGCUGAAUAAUACUUGGGAUAAUAAAGGAAAUAAAGAAGAAAGUGAAAAUCAGUUGGUUCAUAGCAACAACAGGUCACCAGCCCAAUUUCAAUAGAACAGUGACCCAACAAACCAAAUAACUCCAAAAAAGCGACUACCCCAACUUCAAACCAUUUCUGCUCAAAACAGAGUUGAUGAUAGUUUAAAAAAUGAAGGCAAACUCUGGAAAUCAAAGAAGGAUCUGAGAGUUCAAUGGAACCGUAUUUUUCUUUCUCAAUCCAACAAGUUUUUCUGUAUUUUU
rnacentral:lncRNA from 1 species